GGCGUUUGUAAGGGGGCUUGCGCUCCUUAGUGCUGCAGCUAACGCAUUAAGCACAUCCGCCUGGGGAGUACGGUCGCAAGACUGAAACUCAAAGGAAUUGACGGGGGCCCGCACAAGCGGUGGAGCAUGUGGUUUAAUUCGAAGCAACGCGAAAAACCUUACCAGGUCUUGACAUCCUCUGACAAUCCUAAAGAUAGGACGUCCCCUUCGGGGGCAGAGUGACAGGUGGUGCAUGGCUGUC
rnacentral:rRNA from 1 species